rnacentral:rRNA from 1 species
UACGGAGGGUGCAAGCGUUAUCCGGAUUUACUGGGUUUAAAGGGUGCGUAGGCGGGCCAUUAAGUCAGUGGUGAAAGCUCCGAGCUUAACUCGGAAACUGCCAUUGAUACUAUUGGUCUUGAAUUCGGUCGAGGUUGGCGGAAUGUGUCGUGGUAGCGGUGAAAUGCUUAGAUAUGACACAGAACACCGAUUGCGAAGGCAGCUAGCUAGACCGACAUUGACGCUGAGGCACGAAAGCGUGGGGAUCAAACAGG